rnacentral:lncRNA from 1 species
CAGAGGCCUAGGUGGACAAAAGGACGCGGUGAAGAAGAAGAUAAUCUGGGGAGGUGCAGAAAAACUGAGAGGAACCGGCAGAUGCAGACAGAGGAAGAAAGCCACGUCUGUGCAGCGAAAGGUCUUUUCGCCUGUUGGUGUUUUGAAAUGUAGAGGGAAGGACUUUCACUUCCAAGAAAGAGUAGAAGACAGCAUCACGCAAUGCAACGCUGCAACAAAUAGAGAAAAGACAAACACAUCAGGAACACAUUGUGAAGAUCUUAGGGAGCUGUGGAUGCAAUGAAGCCUAGAUAAACUGAGAUAUGAGAGAUAAAGCGAUAAAGAGGCAGAGACCCACCAGGCAUUCAGUAAAACAUCUAGGAGAAACUCGGCUGAGGAACAAGAAUAGUAAACCGUGAAUGAGUCAAACUAACGAAACCUGCAGUCCACCCAGCUCAGUUCCUCAUGGGUUGAGGUGACCGGCCCUCUCCCACCAACUGGACAGAGGAAAGGGUGAACCUUCUUUGACAUCCUCCAGGGUUCUUUCACACACCAUCCAGCAUACAUUAAAAAUUUAAGGCCAGGCGCAGUGGCUCACGCCUAUAAUCCCAGCACUUUGGGAGGUAGAGGCAGGCGGAUCUCUUGAGGUCAGAAGUUCAAGACCAGCCUGGCCAACAUGGUGAAACCCUGUCUCUACUGAAAAUACAAGGCUAGCUGGGUGUGGUGGUGCACACCUGAAGUCCCAGCUACUUGGGAGGCUGAGGUACGAGAAUCACUUAAACCCAGAAGGCAGAGGUUGCCGUGAGCCAAGAUCAUGCCACUGCACUCCAGCCUGGGCGACAGAGCUCUG